CUCGUAGGCGGCCAACUAAGUCGGACGUGAAAUCCCUCGGCUUAACCGGGGAACUGCGUCCGAUACUGGAUGGCUUGAGUUUGGGAGAGGGAUGCGGAAUUCCAGGUGUAGCGGUGAAAUGCGUAGAUAUCUGGAGGAACACCGGUGGCGAAGGCGGCAUCCUGGACCAACACUGACGCUGAUGAGCGAAAGCCAGGGAGCAAACG
rnacentral:rRNA from 1 species